AAAAUUUUAAGUUAUUAAAACUUUUAGCCUUCAAAGCUUAGAAUAUAAUUUUUAUUAUAAAUUUUA
rnacentral:tRNA from 1 species